rnacentral:rRNA from 1 species
AGUCGAACGGAAAGGCCCCUUUUUUGGGGUGCUCGAGUGGCGAACGGGUGAGUAACACGUGGGUGACCUGCCCUGCACUUCGGGAUAAGCCUGGGAAACUGGGUCUAAUACCGGAUAGGACCAUUCUGCGCAUGUGGGGUGGUGGRAAGUGUUUGGUAGCGGUGUGGGAUGGGCCCGCG